CACGCCUGCGAAGGGCAGAGACACGAGGCACAGCAGCGCGAAGAUCCGCUUCUGGCAGCGGCCGAAGGCCCCCGCCUCCUCCAGGAGGUCAUCAAAGGUGGUCAUGUUGCAGAGGUUUCCGUCCCAGGACUCUUGCUGAACCUCCGUCUGCAGAGUGGCCCCUGAGGGCCUCCUCACGGCUUUUAAGGAGGCCUGCGGGAGCAAAAGUUCCUCUGAAGCGGUGCGGCAGAGCGUGACGUUCCUGCGUCAGACUGGCAGUCAGGUUCUGGCAGGGAUCCAUGUUCUGAAGCUGGGACCGGAUCUUCAGCCGCAGGAACAUCAGCUGCCGUUCAGGAACAGAUUUUUAUCAGAUGGAAUUCUUUAGGAACGUUUGACUUUCCAUCUUCAGACAGAAAGAGCUGGGUUCUGAACCCGAGUACGUCACCUUCUCUGCUCUUUGGACUCCUGAGUUUAGAUUUUCAUCAGUUAUUGUAAAAAGAACAUUUUAACCCCCACCCCCUCCCCCCAGCAGGAGAAUGUUUAUCAUUUUUGUUCAAAUGAGAGGCUGAAGGAAGAUAAAUGAUAAACUUGUUCAAACAAGAGGCCGUUCUGAGUCCCGUUUGAACUGAAGCGGAUCAGACCUGCAGGUCCCGUUUGAACUGAAGCGGAUCGGACCUGCAGGUCCCGUCUGAACUGAAGCGGAUCGGACCUGCAGGUCCUGUUUGACUUUCAUGCACAGGAACAUCUAUGGAUGAACCACCAUGAAGACCAAGUCUGGAGGAACACAAAUCAAAGAUCAGGCUGAGCAGAGCCGGAAACAGCAGAUCUCUUUAUUCAGAGAAUUUAAUUUAAAUCAUUUUUUAAAUAGGAAACCAGACAGAGAGCUGCAGACAUAACACGCAAAAUAAUUUACAUCAAAAACAGAGCAGAUCCACUCAGGAUCUGCUCUUCAGAACCUCCUGUGCUUCUGGAGCGUUUCGUCUGCAGUCACAUCAAGUCUUCCUUCAUUUAGAGAAAAAUCAGCCGUACCAAACA